rnacentral:rRNA from 1 species
UACGUAGGGUGCGGAGCGUUAAUCGGAAUUACUGGGCGUAAAGCGUGCGCAGGCGGUUUUGUAAGCCAGAUGUGAAAGCCCCGGGCUUAACCUGGGAAUGGCAUUUGGGACUGCAAGGCUUGAGUGCGGCAGAGGAGACUGGAAUUCCUGGUGUAGCAGUGAAAUGCGUAGAUAUCAGGAGGAAUACCGAUGGCGAAGGCAGGUCUCUGGGCUGACACUGACGCUCAUGCACGAAAGCGUGGGGAGCAAACAGG